UGUUGCGGUGAAUACGUUCCCGGGUCUUGUACACACCGCCCGUCAAACCAUGAAAGUGACCAACACCCGAAGUCCCGAUUCGUCGGCCUAAGGUGGGGGGCAUGAUUGGGGUU
rnacentral:rRNA from 1 species